GGGGUGGGCCGUCUGUCCUGCACUCCGGCAGCAAGCGAGCCUCCGCGCCAUGAAAUUAUGGAUGGAUGGAUGGAUGCUGAUUUGCUCCUUCCGAUGAACGCCUGAACUGAAGACUUAAUUUCACGCGCUCGGAAGAGUGAUGUCUAGAAAAUUCCGUAGAUAUUUUGGGGGUGUACGGAGUAGUAUGUGCGAACGUAGUGUAUAGACGGAUUCGUUCGUUUUGUUGGGCUGGUAAACUGUUUCAACUUGGAAGUAGCAGGAGAAAGUAUAUCAGGAUCGGGCCGUCUAAUUAACGGGCCU
rnacentral:lncRNA from 1 species